rnacentral:lncRNA from 1 species
CCCCUUUUGGAUUUGCGAGUAUUUGUUUUGCAACUAUUUUGUCUAUGAUUUCUCUCCGUGAAAGGUCUUGUCACAGACUGAGCAAGAUCUCUUUAAGGAAGAUAUAUGUUUUUCAUGAUUGUGGAAAAUGAACGAAAAGAAAAUCAAAACUCUAAAAAUCUAUAAGUCUUUGUCAUACCUGAAAGUUGUUUAUAAAAGGGCUACCAGUGCAAAUGGUUGUACUGCAUAUUGCUUUACAACAGCAGCUAUUGUAGCAGUCGGACUAGGUGCAAUGCAGAAGGAAUGAACUUGAGAUGAUGGCACAUGAUGGCAGUAAAUUACUGAAGAGCCCACUUGCCUCCUCUAUCAUCAAAGAGCACAAUAACUGGCUACUGCAAGAAUUUAGUCUAACCCGAAUGACAGCCACAGACAAACUGCAUUAAAUGUAGGCACACAUAAUAACGAUGCUUAAGGAAUAAAACCUGUAUCUCUGUGCA